ACUGAAGCCCAGACAAACAAUUUUAUCUUGCCAUGGUGAUUGAGCUGGAGACCAAAAAAAUGGCAAGACAAGACAAUCCAAUUAAAGCAGCGAAGAGACAACUUUCGUUGGAUUAUUUGGAAGAGGCUGUCAAUGUUGAAGCCAAGAAAAUUGCAAGCAAAAAGAAAAUGUCUUCAGUGGCCAGUGCCAAGGCUAUGGAAAGAGACAUUGUCUUGG